rnacentral:rRNA from 1 species
CCUUUGACGUUAGCGGCGGACGGGUGAGUAACACGUGGGUAACCUACCUAUAAGACUGGGAUAACUUCGGGAAACCGGAGCUAAUACCGGAUAAUAUUUCGAACCGCAUGGUUAGAUAGUGAAAGAUGGUUUUGCUAUCACUUAUAGAUGGACCCGCGCCGUAUUAGCUAGUUGGUAAGGUAACGGCUUACCAAGGCGACGAUACGUAGCCGACCUGAGAGGGUGAUCGGCCACACUGGAACUGAGACACGGUCCAGACUCCUACGGGAGGCAGCAGCC